AGAGUUUGAUCCUGGCUCAGGAUGAACGCUAGCGGCAGGCUUAACACAUGCAAGUCGAGGGGUAUAAGUAGCUUGCUAUUUAGAGACCGGCGCACGGGUGCGUAACGCGUAUGCAAUCUGCCUUUCACAAAGGGAUAGCCCAGAGAAAUUUGGAUUAAUACCUUAUAGUAUAUAGGAGUGGCAUCACUUUUAUAUUAAAGAUUUAUCGGUGAAAGAUGAGCAUGCGUCCCAUUAGCUAGAUGGUAAGGUAACGGCUUACCAUGGCAACGAUGGGUAGGGGUCCUGAGAGGGAGAUCCCCCACACUGGUACUGAGACACGGACCAGACUCCUACGGGAGGCAGCAGUGAGGAAUAUUGGACAAUGGGCGCAAGCCUGAUCCAGCCAUGCCGCGUGCAGGAUGAAGCAUCUAUGGUGUGUAAACUGCUUUUAUACGGGAAGAAACCCCGCCUCGUGAGGCGGAUUGACGGUACCGUAAGAAUAAGGACCGGCUAACUCCGUGCCAGCAGCCGCGGUAAUACGGAGGGUCCAAGCGUUAUCCGGAAUCAUUGGGUUUAAAGGGUCCGUAGGCGGGCCAGUAAGUCAGUGGUGAAAUCUCCCCGCUCAACGGGGAAACGGCCAUUGAUACUGCUGGUCUUGAAUUAUUAGGAAGUAACUAGAAUAUGUAGUGUAGCGGUGAAAUGCUUAGAGAUUACAUGGAAUACCAAUUGCGAAGGCAGGUUACUACUAAUGGAUUGACGCUGAUGGACGAAAGCGUGGGUAGCGAACAGGAUUAGAUACCCUGGUAGUCCACGCCGUAAACGAUGGAUACUAGCUGUUCGGUCGCAAGACUGAGUGGCUAAGCGAAAGUGAUAAGUAUCCCACCUGGGGAGUACGUUCGCAAGAAUGAAACUCAAAGGAAUUGACGGGGGCCCGCACAAGCGGUGGAGCAUGUGGUUUAAUUCGAUGAUACGCGAGGAACCUUACCAAGGCUUAAAUGUAGAUUGACGGGACUGGAAACAGUUUUUUCUUCGGACAAUUUACAAGGUGCUGCAUGGUUGUCGUCAGCUCGUGCCGUGAGGUGUCAGGUUAAGUCCUAUAACGAGCGCAACCCCUGUUGUUAGUUGCCAGCGAGUCAUGUCGGGAACUCUAACAAGACUGCCAGUGCAAACUGUGAGGAAGGUGGGGAUGACGUCAAAUCAUCACGGCCCUUACGCCUUGGGCUACACACGUGCUACAAUGGCCGGUACAGAGAGCAGCCACUGGGCGACCA
rnacentral:rRNA from 1 species